UUCCGUAGGUGAACCUGCGGAGGGAUCAUUACCGAGUUUACAACUCCCAAACCCAAUGUGAACGUUACCAAACUGUUGCCUCGGCGGGGUCACGCCCCGGGUGCGUCGCAGCCCCGGAACCAGGCGCCCGCCGGAGGAACCAACCAAACUCUUUACUGUAGUCCCCUCGCGGACGUUUUUACUUACAGCUCUGAGCAAAAAUUCAAAAUGAAUCAAAACUUUCAACAACGGAUCUCUUGGUUCUGGCAUCGAUGAAGAACGCAGCGAAAUGCGAUAAGUAAUGUGAAUUGCAGAAUUCAGUGAAUCAUCGAAUCUUUGAACGCACAUUGCGCCCGCCAGUAUUCUGGCGGGCAUGCCUGUCCGAGCGUCAUUUCAACCCUCGAACCCCUCCGGGGGGUCGGCGUUGGGGAUGCGGGAACCCCUAAGACGGGAUCCCGGCCCCGAAAUACAGUGGCGGUCUCGCCGCAGCCUCUCCUGCGCAGUAGUUUGCACAACUCGCACCGGGAGCGCGGCGCGUCCACGUCCGUAAAACACCCAACUUUCUGAAAUGUUGACCUCGGAUCAGGUAGGAAUACCCGCU
rnacentral:rRNA from 1 species